GCUGGCAGCUAGCUCUCUGCAACUCUCACAUGGUCACCCACUGAAGUUAAGCAGGGCUGCGCCCGGUCAGUACCUGGAUGGGAGACCACAUGGGAAAGUUAGGUUGCUGCCGGAA
ensembl:rRNA 5S_rRNA 5S ribosomal RNA